rnacentral:RNase_P_RNA from 1 species
GGAGCGGGUCGGACGGUCGCCGGAAGUUUUCCGGAGGAAGGUCCGGACUCCAUCGGGCAGGAUGCUGGCUAACGGCCAGGCGCUAUACGGCUGCAAAGUGGGAAUUCUUCCCACCGGGCUGCUCAAGGCGACGGACAGUGGCACAGAAAACAAACCGCCAAACCCACGAAAGGGUCGGGCAAGGGUGAAAAGGUGGGGUAAGAGCCCACCGCGCGGCUGGUGACAGGCGUGGCAGGCCAAACCCCAUCCGGAGCAACAUCAUGUAGGCGUGCGACGCGGCCAGGUCCGCAUAGGGUGGCCCAUCCGUGCAUGCGGGUAGAUGGCUAGAGCCGGCCGGCAACGGCCGGCCCAGAGGAAUGACCGUCACGCCCCUGCGGGCGGACAGAAUCCGGCCUAUAGACCCGCUCCCCCU